AACGAACGCUGGCGGCAUGCCUAACACAUGCAAGUCGAACGAGACCUUCGGGUCUAGUGGCGCACGGGUGCGUAACGCGUGGGAACCUGCCCUUAGGUUCGGAAUAACUCCCCGAAAGGGGUGCUAAUACCGGAUAAUGUCUUCGGACCAAAGAUUUAUCGCCUUUGGAUGGGCCCGCGUUGGAUUAGCUAGUUGGUAGGGUAAAGGCCUACCAAGGCGACGAUCCAUAGCUGGUCUGAGAGGAUGAUCAGCCACACUGGGACUGAGACACGGCCCAGACUCCUACGGGAGGCAGCAGUGGGGAAUAUUGGACAAUGGGCGAAAGCCUGAUCCAGCAAUGCCGCGUGAGUGAUGAAGGCCUUAGGGUUGUAAAGCUCUUUUACCCGGGAUGAUAAUGACAGUACCGGGAGAAUAAGCACCGGCUAACUCCGUG
rnacentral:rRNA from 1 species